rnacentral:rRNA from 1 species
GACGAACGCUGGCGGCGUGCUUAACACAUGCAAGUCGAACGGAAAGGCCCUGCUUUUGUGGGGUGCUCGUGUGGCGAACGGGUGAGUAACACGUGAGUAACCUGCCCUUGACUUUGGGAUAACUUCAGGAAACUGGGGCUAAUACCGGAUAGGUGCUCCUGCUGCAUGGUGGGGGUUGGAAAGUUUCGGCGGUUGGGGAUGGACUCUCGGGUAAUCAGCUUGUUGGUGGGGUAGUGGCUUACCAAGGCUUUGACGGGUAGCCGGCCUGAGAGGGUGACCGGCCACAAUGGGACUGCGAUACGGCGCAGACGGCUACGGGAGGCAGCGGGGGAGAGUAUUGCGCAGCGGGGGGAAGCCUGUGGCAGCAACGCCGGGUUCGUGAUGACGUGCUUUGAGUUGUGAACCGCUGUGGCAUGAGACGAAGCGUGAGUGACGGUAAUGGGUAAGGAAGCAACGGCUAACUACGUG